rnacentral:rRNA from 1 species
GACGAACGCUGGCGGCGUGCUUAACACAUGCAAGUCGAACGGAAAGGCCUCUUUCGGGGGGUACUCGAGUGGCGCACGGGUGAGUAACACGUGAGUAACCUGCCCUUGACUUUGGGGUAACUUCAGGAAACUGUGGCUAAUACCGGAUAGGAGCUCCUGCUGCAUGGUGUGGGUUGGAAAGUUUCGGCGGGUGGGGAGGGACUCGCGGCUUAUCAGCUUGUUGGUGGGGUAGUGGGUUACCAAGGGUUUGUCGGGUAGGCGGCCUGAGAGGGUGACCGGCCACAUUGGGACUGGGAUACGGCCCAGACUCCUACGGGAGGCAGCAGUGGGGAAUAUUGCACAAUGGGUGGAAGCCCGAUGCAGCAACGCCGGGGGCGGGAUGACGGCCUUCGGGUUGUAAACCGCGUUCGCUCAUGACGAAGCUUUGUGUGACGGUAGUGGGUAAAGAAGCACCGGCUAACUACGUG